AUUUCGUUAGAUCACCGAAGUUAAGCAUCAUUGGGCGCGGUCAGUACUUGGGUGGGUGACCACCUGGGAACACCGCGUGCCGUU
rnacentral:rRNA from 1 species